UACGUAGGGUGCAAGCUUUGUCCGGAAUUAUUGGGCGUAAAGGGCUCGUAGGCGGUCCAUCGCGUCGGGAGUGAAAAGCUGGGGCUUAACCCCAGUCCUGCUUCCGAUACGGGUGGACUAGAGGUAGGUAGGGGAGAACGGAAUUCCUGGUGUAGCGGUGAAAUGCGCAGAUAUCAGGAGGAACACCGGUGGCGAAGGCGGUUCUCUGGGCCUUACCUGACGCUGAGGAGCGAAAGCAUGGGGAGCAAACAGG
rnacentral:rRNA from 1 species